rnacentral:rRNA from 1 species
AGUGAACGCUGGCGGUAGGCCUAACACAUGCAAGUCGAACGGCAGCACAGUAAGAGCCUGCUCUUACGGGUGGCGAGUGGCGGACGGGUGAGGAAUACAUCGGAAUCUACUUUUUCGUGGGGGAUAACGUAGGGAAACUUACGCUAAUACCGCAUACGACCUACGGGUGAAAGCAGGGGAUCUUCGGACCUUGCGCGAUUGAAUGAGCCGAUGUCGGAUUAGCUAGUUGGCGGGGUAAAGGCCCACCAAGGCGACGAUCCGUAGCUGGUCUGAGAGGAUGAUCAGCCACACUGGAACUGAGACACGGUCCAGACUCCUACGGGAGGCAGCAGUGGGGAAUAUUGGACAAUGGGCGCAAGCCUGAUCCAGCCAUACCGCGUGGGUGAAGAAGGCCUUCGGGUUGUAAAGCCCUUUUGUUGGGAAAGAAAAGCAGCAGGUUAAUACCCCGCUGCUCUGACGGUACCCAAAGAAUAAGCACCGGCUAACUUCGUG